ACUCCUACGGGAGGCAGCAGUGGGAAUAUUGCACAAUGGGGAAAGCCAUCGAUGCAGCCAUGCCGCGUGUGUGAAGAAGGCCAAUUCGGGGCUUUGGUUAAAGACAUUUUCAGUUAGGGAGGAAGGGUAGAUGUAGUUAACACCUGCACUAUUUGACUGUUACCUACAGAAGAAGCACCGGCUAACUCCGUGCCAGCAGCCGCGGUAAUACGGAGGGUGCGAGCGUUAAUCGGAAUUACUGGGCGUAAAGCGCAUGCAGGCGGCCUGUUAAGUCAGAUGUGAAAGCCCGGGCUUAACCUCGGAAUUGCAUUUGAAACUGGCAGGCUAGAGUCUUGUAGAGGGGG
rnacentral:rRNA from 1 species